rnacentral:rRNA from 1 species
GACGAACGCUGGCGGCGUGCUUAACACAUGCAAGUCGAACGGAAAGGCCCUGCUUUUGUGGGGUGCUCGAGUGGCGAACGGGUGAGUAACACGUGGGUAACCUGCCCUUGACUUUGGGAUAACUUCAGGAAACUGGGGCUAAUACCGGAUAGGAGCUCCUGCUGCAUGGUGGGGGUUGGAAAGUUUCGGCGGUUGGGGAUGGACUCGCGGCUUAUCAGCUUGUUGGUGGGGUAGUGGCUUACCAAGGCUUUGACGGGUAGCCGGCCUGAGAGGGUGACCGGCCACACUGGGACUGAGAUACGGCCCAGACUCCUACGGGAGGCAGCAGUGGGGAAUAUUGCACAAUGGGCGGAAGCCUGAUGCAGCAACGCCGCGUGCGGGAUGACGGCCUUCGGGUUGUAAACCGCUUUCGCCUGUGACGAAGCGUGAGUGACGGUAAUGGGUAAAGAAGCACCGGCUAACUACGUG